rnacentral:rRNA from 1 species
UAGGGAAUCUUCCGCAAUGGACGCAAGUCUGACGGAGCAACGCCGCGUGAGUGAAGAAGGAUUUCGGUUCGUAAAACUCUGUUGUUAGAGAAGAACAGCGCAUAGAGUAACUGUUAUGCGUGUGACGGUAUCUAACCAGAAAGCCACGGCUAACUACGUGCCAGCAGCCGCGGUAAUACGUAGGUGGCAAGCGUUAUCCGGAAUUAUUGGGCGUAAAGCGCGCGUAGGCGGUUUUUUAAGUCUGAUGUGAAAGCCCACGGCUCAACCGUGGAGGGUCAGUGGAAACUGGAAAACUUGAGUGCAGAAGAGGAAAGUGGAAUUCCAUGUGUAGCGGUGAAAUGCGCAGAGAUAUGGAGGAACACCAGUGGCGAAGGCGACUUUCUGGUCUGUAACUGACGCUGAUGUGCGAAAGCGUGGGAAUCAAACAGG